AGUUGGAGAGAUGAAAUAAAGAAGAAUUUUUUUUGAUUGAUUGGGUUUAAUCUUAAGAAUAAGACCCAAACAAAUAAUUAUGAUUUCACAGUAGUUAAUGAAAAACAAAUACUGGUGCUUCAAAAGUUCUUACAAGGUUAGAUUUCAUUUUCAGUAUAUAUGUAGCAGUAUGUGACAGAAAGGGCAAAAAUGCAAAGGAACUGACGGUAGAAAGAGGCGAGAAAUUACAAGUAUUAGACAAGUCUAGAAACUGGUGGAAGUUGAAGAAUUAUCAGGGGGAGACUGGCUACGCACCUUACACAAUAUUAAAGGAAUAUCAACCUAAGGAUGACUUUUUAUAUGGUGAUGGUGGACAACGUCUGGGAAAAGAUUUCAAUGACAUUCCACCUGUACCUCCCCUACGAGCAGCAAAUCAACCAGCAAGUCGCGGAGGUCACAAAUCAUUUCGAUACUUUUGAUGAUGAUAUGUCUUACUUUUAAUUUUCAGUUUUACUUGUGGCAUUUUGUUUAUAUAGUGACAAGUCUUACGAAAAAACAAAUCAAAUCAAACCUGCUGAAAUUGAAGCUAUAUGUUACGAGGCAGUUUAUUUAUUAUAGCUACUGGUAAUAAAUCAGGGAUAAUCAGACUGCAUAUGAGAAAAAUAGAAUGAAAAUUUUAAAUGUUCCCCCUAUUUUAAUUUGUUUUGUUAUGGAAGUAAGAGGGCCAUCAGUAUGUUUAUGAUUUAUCAGUAGUAUUUGUAUGUUUCUGUUGGUACUUUAAAAUUUUAGAUCUGUAUUAUACCUUCAAGUAAAGAAUCGUUGUGUUUAAAAAAAACUUGAUUUUGAAUUUAGUCGUAUUGGUGCGCAUUAAUAAUUACAAAAAGUAUUGAAUGGAAAAGCUUCUCUUUGAGAGCUGUAAUAUAAAACAGAUAUAACGUUUUCAUGAAUCUGUUACGAAGUGAGAUUUUGUUAGGUGAUGAAGAUACUUGCAUCUCACUUUACUGAGUUUCUAGAUGAUGAAUUAAUCAGUGUGAUAUUUUCUUUCAUCAGCCGGGAACCAUUCUUUAGAAAAAAUAUUAGGGUUGUUUAUCGUUACAACGUCUUACACAGAUGUCUACAUUUUUUAAUUAUUAUUGAUGGUUGCCAUGGAAGUAUAUUUUAUUGUACAUAGUAGAGUGUUAAUGAUUAUCACGUUAAAAUCUUACAUAUCAUUGUAAUGUUAUUAUGCAAAGAAUAUAUAAUGUGUGAAUUGUCUGCAUAUAUAUUAUGUAUAUAUUUUGUACAGGUCAUAUUGUAGAGACUUACCCUAAGCCUUCUUUACACAAGGGAAACAAUCUGUUUAUAUAGUUAAAUUGUUUAGUGAACACCGUCUGUUAAUCCUAAUUCUGUCCAUGUUAUAUCAGUGCAAAGGAGAAGUAACCUAUUUAUGUUAAAUGCUAUGCAUGAUAACACAGUCAUACAUCUGAUAGUCCUGAAAAUGAUUUCUUUGAUUUUCUCAUAUUUCUAGAUAUUUUGCGAAUAUUUGGACGCAUAUAUAUGGGUAGAAGAGAUUGUUCUCUUUCCAGCAGUAGCCUUUUCAACAUAUUGUUAGGACGGUCAAUAAUGAAAUUAAAUUCUUCAGAUACUAUAAUAUCUAUUAAUACCUGCAUCUCUUUCUGUCUUAAAGUGCUUAAAGUUGAACUAUUUUCUAACUCUUUCUCGAAUUUCUAUAUAACUCUUUCGUUUGAGCUUUUUCGGUCGAAUGCUUCUAAUAAGCAAAAGGUUUUUAGUUUAUAUACAUGUUUACAUUCUAUACAUGACGUCAAAAAUGAAAGUAGGUUUUUCCCGGAAUAAAUAUCCGCCAAUCAGAUUUAACCAAUAUGGCGGUCAUUACAAGUUGACAGUAUAUGGUGUAAGUCACUUUCUUUUGGACUAAAUACAAGUUAUACUUAUAGUGAUUAAUUAUGAAAACCUUAACAAAAGAGACAUCAUAUAUUUAUAAUUUAAUUGUUACUAAUAUUUAAAGUGAAACAUUAAUACGUUUUGAAAAUUUUAUGAGAAAAGUUUGGUUGUCUAGCGUUUAUGAUUGGGUGGAGUAUUGUAACCAGCAUAGCAAUAUUGUACCUUGUCAAAGUAUUUGGGCUUUGACUUUUUCCAAAAAAAAGUCUGUUGUUGACAAAUUUCCACACAGAAAAUGUUACACUUUCCCCUGGGCAUUAACUUAUUUGAUCUUUACAUAGUUUUCUAUUCUGAUUGCUAAUCCACGUGGCAAUUAUGCAUGCUUUUCUACUGUCUAACUUCUUUCUUUUUCUCAUGAUUGAAACAGGCUAUUUUCAAAGAAAAAAAUCACAGCAGUUUUGGAUCAGAUAUUUUCUUAAAUACAUGUAGCUUUAAAUUUAUUGUUAAAAAUUUGUUAUUAACUUGUUUAGUUUACUUGUGGAUAUGUAAGAGUUUGGGAAAGGAUGUUUUAUUAAUAAUCACUGGAAAGUUUAUUGCUUGAAGAUUAAUUAUAUAUAUAUAUAUAUAUAUAUAUAUAUAUAUAUUAAAAAAUAUUAUAACUAGGUGUCAUUUAAUAAGUUAAAUCUUGCCAUUUGAAAACCAGUAUCAUGUCUUUUUGGUGUCUAUGAUAAAUAUACAAGUCGUCUAAAAUGUUACCAAUGAGAGCGUGAAAGAAUGCUUUCAAAUAUUUCUCAUCAAAAAGCCUUAAUUCAACUUCCUUUAUUUCUUUUCCACUUAACUUAUAGAUUUAUAGAAACUAUUUAGCAAUAUAUCCUUAAAUUAGUUGUGCAGUAUUAAUAGUUCAUAUUGAUGUUUUUGAUGUCCUUUUACAGAUAUAAAAUGUGUUAGGGUAUAUGAAAACUAACUUUGUGUGGCAAAAUUUGACAGUAGUAUUAUAGUAGUAGCAUAGUAGAUUAAAUGCAAUAUUGAUUUGAAUUUGUUUAGGAUUUAGUUUAACAACAGAAACUUUAUAUGACAUCAGCUAAUAUCCUAGCAUUUGAAACAGCAUUUUGUAAUUGAAAAUUUGUGUUGUGACUUCCCUUUUGUUUUCAUUUCUUUUUCUGUCUAAAACUUUUUUUCGGUAAACUUUCAAGGUUACCUGGUCAGAUUUAAGAACAAAAUAUUUUGUUUUUUGAUUUUUUUUGACUCUGUUUUGAUAAUAAAUCUGAUUUAGUUAUGUGAUGAUAUAGCAGUCUAAUGUAAAGGCAGACUAAUGGAAAGGCAGGCUUCAGGAAUUUUAGUCAGUCAUGUAAAAAUGCAGCUUAUGCCCACACUACUACGUGUAAGGACUAUAUGCAAGAGUAUAAGUAAAUAUGCAUUACUCAAGAAAGUGUUCAGCUAAAGAAGAAACAUUUAAAAGAAUGAAUUAAGGUAAAAAAUCCAAGCCGCACCGUUUAUUGCCUUUGCUUUCUUGCCUUGUAUAUGCUAGGUAUUCAUCUGUUUAUUCUAUAGAAGCCAGUUUCAUGUUUUCCCAUCUUUUGUCAUUAAAAGCACUCACAGUUUAUUUUGUGUUAACGCAGUUUGAAUAUUUACAUAUGUGCUGACACUCUAGAAGUUUGUAUGUUAGGUGUUUAGGCUGUCAGUUUUUUUACAACAUACACAUCUAUAACAAUUCUCUUUUGUUUUUAAAGCGGAUAAAAGUAUGCUUUUAACUAUCAUAUAUAAUAAAAUAUUGUUCCGUUUGCAGAUUUCCAUUUCUAAGUGUUUUACCUUGCUACAAAUACUUUUCCUCCCUUCAUUCCUUAAUGUCUGCUGUGACUUGCUACUGUCAGUUUCAUUGAAAUAUACCUUUAGGAUACAUCUGCAAGCUUAAACUAAGAUUACAUACAUACAUAAUGAGCCUGAAAUGUUCUUUGCUGAUUCAUUGUUACGUUGUUAGGUAAAUUCAAGAAAAAUGUUCGAAUGAAUUUUACCUUUCGUGCUAGCCUAGAAACUGUGUGUCCGUGUUCUCUUCCCAUUUUUCCUUUCACCUGCCUUCUCAUAAUUCUCUGCUGUAAAUGGCUGUUAUGUUUAGUAGUCUGUUAAUAUCAUAUUUAUUUACAAAAAAAAGCAUUUAAUAUGAAUAAAUUAAA